GGCUGGGGCUGCUGCUACUGGGCUCCAUGGUACACAAAUGGAUUGAUCCCUGCGUGUGCCAUGGGCGCUGGAGAGAACAACAUGUUCUGCCCUUGGGUUUGAUGAGCUGGUGCUGCUGGCAUGGCCAUGAAACCCCUGCGGUCCUAAUACAUCAAAAAUCUAUCUUUGGAAGCAUGCUCCCCUGCUCAAACAUUUAAAACACCAGGAUUUCAUCACGGGGCAGACUAAGUGCAAGAAUUCUUCCCGGGUGUUGAAGUUCUGCAACCACCACCACACCAUCAGGACCGGACAGCAACGGGCGGACGGAGAUGGUGGAUGAGAGCUGCCAGGUGCAUGCAACUUCUUGCCCAAGAUUUCCAAGACCUGAUGGUGUGGAGAGCUUUAAAAGAAGGAUCUGAAGGAAAGCAGUGAUGCAACUUCGUGGGUGCCUCUUGCUGUGAUUUAGUGCUGUCUGUGCUCAGGCACCAGCUCAGCCUGCAGCCAGGCAUCACUUCUAUCACUAAAGUAGUGCUGCACACUGUGUGGAUAUCCCACAGACUAGUCAAAAGAGGACAAAGCAUCUCUCCUCUCACUUGGAGUACAGCAUGCACCAGUAACUUGCAUGAGAAUUGUAUUACCCAGAACCUGCAUGAUGACUUCACACACCACAAAAUAUGGGCAGUCACAGGAGUGCAACUGCAGGGGCCCUCCUUGGCUUUCUUCAGAUCACAGUUUGCCAGCUCCCAUCCCAGAAAUGUGAGUCCUGAGAAUGACUGCAGAAACUUUUACUUGUCUGAGCUCCAGGAGUAUUUAUGUAAUUUAAUCGAUGAACUGCACUGAUUUAUUUGCACUAAGUAACUCCUUGGGAUCUGGAUAAUAGAUAAGGGUGUGCACAGUGCUGUACAAACACAUCAUAAAUAAAUGCAGCUUGCAAAUCAAUUGUCAGAUAUUGAUGAUUAAUCUCCUUAUAGUAAAAUAAUGUUACAUCUGUCCAUUAUGGCUUUUUUUUCUUUUCUUUUAAUUUUAAAAUUGACCUAAGAGGUUUCAGAGUUAUUUAUUUCAGGAAAGCUGCCCUUUAAGCCAGAUCUUAUGCUUCUUAAAAGGUCAUAGGGUCUAAAUAUCAUGGUUACUUACAAAGCAUGGCUCCCUGAGAGGUCUGACAGCUGCCUUCAUCAGAGCAAAUCAAGGUCCUGUACAAAUAAAUGCUUGGCCAUGAAGCUGAAGGCUGUGUUCUUGCAGG
ensembl:lncRNA